rnacentral:hammerhead_ribozyme from 1 species
AUCUAGCUGACGAAUCCCAAAUAGGAGGAAACGCGCAUCCUUGAU